UAGACUGCAGAUGGAAUCAUCGU
rnacentral:rRNA from 1 species